GAUCAUGGCUCAGGAUGAACGCUAGCUACAGGCUUAACACAUGCAAGUCGAGGGGCAGCAUUUUAGUUUGCUUGCAAACUAAAGAUGGCGACCGGCGCACGGGUGAGUAACACGUAUCCAACCUGCCGAUAACUCGGGGAUAGCCUUUCGAAAGAAAGAUUAAUAUCCGAUGGUAUAUUAAAACCGCAUGGUUUUACUUAUUAAAGAAAUUUCGGUUUAUCGAUGGGGAGUGCGUUCCAUUAGUUUGUUUGGUCGGGGUAACGGG
rnacentral:rRNA from 1 species